ensembl:snoRNA
AUGGCCCUGAAUCAAGGCUGGCAGUUUUCUGAAGCUAUUGGCUUCAAUAGGGUCUAAAGUGGUAUCUUUCUAUGGUCUAUUGACCAUUUCAGGACUUUAAAACUCUAUAACAACACACCCAGCCCUGAGCCCACUACCACAGACGUGGAAGAACA